rnacentral:lncRNA from 1 species
CACACUUCAAAAAUCAAAUUUUGACAAAUGACAAGUGACACGUUUCUAUAUUGUCGAUAGGAAAAAGGCGUUGUACACACUCUACAAUUAGAGUGCAACGUAGAGAAUGCCACAGUUUAAAUAAAAUUUACAGCGACAAAAGUAUUGCCGCACUAAAUCUACCGGGCAUACGUAUGUCCCACAGCCGUUCAAGUGAUGACAUUAGCGCCGCGUCUGGGGGACUUCUUUCAUGAAAAGGACUAUAAAUAUCUCUAUUGCCGGAUCAUAGACCAUGUAAAAUUGUGCAGAACCGCCAAGUGCCGUCAGUUGCUACACCACAGAUCAGGAAGAAGGCAGAUGUGUCAAGUCGUCCAUGUGUUUGGACGAAGCACCAAAGAUCGACUCCACGCGCGCCUUCGUAUACAGGUCAGGGACGAAUCCAUGCAAUCACUUCCAGAUGUGUUGUCCCGUCAACAAACUGCGUCCGACGCCGGUUGUUCCCACCAUCCCCCCCACUACAGGCUGUGGGUACAGCAAUGCAGGCGGUGUAGUGUUCAGAGAGACGACUGGCACCUCCACCAGCGGACGUGCUGACUUCGCGGAGUUUCCCUGGAUGGUAGCUUUGUUGAGGACAAG